rnacentral:rRNA from 1 species
GACAGCAGCAGCCGCGGUAAUACGGAGGGUGCAAGCGUUAAUCGGAAUUACUGGGCGUAAAGCGCACGCAGGCGGUCUGACAAGUCAGAUGUGAAAUCCCCGGGCUUAACCUGGGAACUGCAUUUGAAACUGUCAGGCUGGAGUCUUGUAGAGGGGGGUGGAAUUCCAGGUGUAGCGGUGAAAUGCGUAGAGAUCUGGAGGAAUACCGGUGGCGAAGGCGGCCCCCUGGACAAAGACUGACGCUCAGGUGCGAAAGCGUGGGGAGCAAACAGGAUUAGAUACCCCUGUAGUCCCUGUCUCUUAUAC